UACGGAGGGUGCAAGCGUUAUCCGGAUUCACUGGGUUUAAAGGGUGCGUAGGCGGGUGAGUAAGUCAGUGGUGAAAUCUUCGAGCUUAACUCGGAAACUGCCGUUGAUACUACUUGUCUUGAAUACCGUGGAGGUGAGCGGAAUAUGUCAUGUAGCGGUGAAAUGCUUAGAUAUGACAUAGAACACCAAUUGCGAAGGCAGCUCACUACACGAAUAUUGACUCUGAGGCACGAAAGCGUGGGGAUCAAACAGG
rnacentral:rRNA from 1 species